rnacentral:tRNA from 1 species
GGGGGUAUAGUUCAGUGGUAGAGCAUGUGCUAUGCAUGCAUGAGGUCCUGGGUUCAAUCUCCAGUACCUGCA